rnacentral:lncRNA from 1 species
AUUCAAAAGUAUUCAUAGAUACCACCAGAUGCUCACAAUUACAAAGUCAAAUAAGCACACAUAAAAUCAAGGAGAAGGACACAGAGUUACCCUCCUUCUUCGCAACCGGAGAAGAUCGGCCUUCAAACACAGACAAACCCUAGGUGUAAUUUUUGAAAAGACAAACUUUACCGGAGAUCAGAUGAAGAACGUCGGAAACACACCCAAAACGUCCAGAAAAUGACAAUCAGGCCACCGGAAUGCGGUAAAACCGUAGGUUAAACCAUCAGAAACCCUAGAAGCCGAUAGGUCAUCAAAAUCAACCGUCCAAAAUCAUCACAAAGUCUUUCCAGAGUGUUGAAUAGAGGAAAAUACACUCGGAUACACUCAGAAAAGUCUCCGAUGGACUAAAAACAUCAUCGACGAAGCGGUCUCAGAAAUCACCCCCAAAAACCUCGAUACAGACUUCAUCCAGGACCACGAACACACAGAAACAUGAUCGGAUCGUCUUCGAGGCUCUGAUACCAUGUUAACAUCAAGAUUGAACGUAGAGUGUUGAAUAGAGGAAAAUACACACGGAUACACUCAGAAAAGUCUCUGAUGGACUAAAAACAUCAUCGAUGGAGCGGUCUCAGAAAUCACCCCCAAAAACCUCGAUACAGACUUCAUCAAGGACCACGAACACACAGAAACAUGAUCGGAUCGUCUUCGAGGCUCUGGUACCAUGUUAACAUCAAGAUUGAACGAAAGAAUCAUACAAAUUAUAGAGAGAGAAAGUAGAGAGAAGGAGGAGAGUAGGUGAGAAGUCUCUCGAAUGUCAGAGAGAGAAUUGUAUUAACCGAGAAGAAAA